AUCCUUUUUUGGUCGAUAAACGUGAUGACGCAGGAUGUUCACGCCUGUGUUGACAUGCCUCCCUCAAACCUUGUUACAUAUCAGCACAUUACCCAUCUGACG